CCUACGGGAGGCAGCAGUGAGGAAUAUUGGUCAAUGGACGAGAGUCUGAACCAGCCAAGUAGCGUGAAGGAUGACUGCCCUAUGGGUUGUAAACUUCUUUUAUAAAGGAAUAAAACGAGGCACGUGUGCCUUUUUGCAUGUACUUUAUGAAUAAGGAUCGGCUAACUCCGUGCCAGCAGCCGCGGUAAUACGGAGGAUCCGAGCGUUAUCCGGAUUUAUUGGGUUUAAAGGGAGCGUAGAUGGGUUGUUAAGUCAGUCGUGAAAGUUUGCGGCUCAACCGUAAAAUUGCAAUUGAUACUGGUAGUCUUGAGUACAGUUGAGGUAGGCGGAAUUCGUGGUGUAGCGGUGAAAUGCUUAGAUAUCACGAAGAACCCCGAUUGCGAAGGCAGCUUACUAAACUGUGACUGACAUUGAUGCUCGAAAGUGUGGGUAUCAAACAGGAUUAGAUACCCUUGUAGUC
rnacentral:rRNA from 1 species